GCACUGCUGAAGAGUUCCACAAUAGGACGAAACGGCCGCCCAGUGC
rnacentral:hammerhead_ribozyme from 1 species